rnacentral:rRNA from 1 species
AUGGAGCCAGCGGACGAAGUGGAGAUUUGGGAGGCCAUCUUAGCGGAUCCGCUUGAUUGGCCUCCAUCUUCUGUUACUAUUCCUCGUCCAAGCCAGGUGGAAGAAUACUUCAGUUAUGUGUAUGGCGAUGAUGACAUGGAAAUCAACAAAUUUGCACAAGAGCCCGAAGAUGGGCAGUGCCACCAGCAAUAUUUGGGAGAAUUCAUAUUAAACAAAAGUGGGAGGCAUGGCCCACAAGUUCCUCGCAAGAGGAGGAUAUCUGCUUCGGGAAGUGGAGGCAAGAAAUUGCACGGUCGAAAAAACAAUGAACACUGGACACGUGAAGAAGUGAAGAAGCUGAUAUUAGGAGAUAUGGUGAAGGGCGAUGGACUAAGGUGA